rnacentral:rRNA from 1 species
UGAGGAAUAUUGGUCAAUGGACGGAAGUCUGAACCAGCCAAGUAGCGUGCAGGAUGACGGCCCUAUGGGUUGUAAACUGCUUUUAUGCUGGGGUAAAGUGAGUGACGUGUCAUUCAUUGCAAGUACCGCAAGAAUAAGGACCGGCUAAUUCCGUGCCAGCAGCCGCGGUAAUACGGAAGGUCCUGGUGUUAUCCGGAUUUAUUGGGUUUAAAGGGAGCGUAGGCCGUCAGGCAAGCGUGUUGUGAAAUGUCGUGGCUCAACCAUGGACUUGCAGCGCGAACUGCCCGACUUGAGUGCGCAGAAAGCAGGCGGAAUUUGUGGUGUAGCGGUGAAAUGCUUAGAUAUCACGAAGAACCCCGAUUGCGAAGGCAGCCUGCUGUAGCGCUACUGACGCUGAAGCUCGAAAGUGCGGGUAUCGAACAGGAUUAGAUACCCUGGUAGUCCGCACGGUAAACGAUGGAUGCCCGCUGUUCGGUUUUCGGACCGAGCGGCUAAGUGAAAACGUUAAGCAUCCCACCUGGGGAGUACGCCGGCAACGGUG